UGCAGUCGAGCGGUAACAGAUCUAGCUUGCUAGAUGCUGACGAGCGGCGGACGGGUGAGUAAUGCAUAGGAAUCUGCCCGGUAGUGGGGGAUAACCUGGGGAAACCCAGGCUAAUACCGCAUACGUCCUACGGGAGAAAGGGGGCUCCGGCUCCCGCUAUUGGAUGAGCCUAUGUCGGAUUAGCUAGUUGGUGAGGUAAUGGCUCACCAAGGCGACGAUCCGUAGCUGGUCUGAGAGGAUGAUCAGCCACAUCGGGACUGAGACACGGCCCGAACUCCUACGGGAGGCAGCAGUGGGGAAUAUUGGACAAUGGGGGGAACCCUGAUCCAGCCAUGCCGCGUGUGUGAAGAAGGCCCUCGGGUUGUAAAGCACUUUCAGCGAGGAAGAACGCCUGGUGGUUAAUACCCAUCAGGAAAGACAUCACUCGCAGAAGAAGCACCGGCUAACUCCGUGCCAGCAGCCGCGGUAAUACGGAGGGUGCAAGCGUUAAUCGGAAUUACUGGGCGUAAAGCGCGCGUAGGUGGCUUGAUAAGCCGGUUGUGAAAGCCCCGGGCUCAACCUGGGAACGGCAUCCGGAACUGUCAAGCUAGAGUACAGGAGAGGAAGGUAGAAUUCCCGGUGUAGCGGUGAAAUGCGUAGAGAUCGGGAGGAAUACCAGUGGCGAAGGCGGCCUUCUGGACUGAUACUGACACUGAGGUGCGAAAGCGUGGGUAGCAAACAGGAUUAGAUACCCUGGUAGUCCACGCCGUAAACGAUGUCGACCAGCCGUUGGGUGCCUAGCGCACUUUGUGGCGAAGUUAACGCGAUAAGUCGACCGCCUGGGGAGUACGGCCGCAAGGUUAAAACUCAAAUGAAUUGACGGGGGCCCGCACAAGCGGUGGAGCAUGUGGUUUAAUUCGAUGCAACGCGAAGAACCUUACCUACCCUUGACA
rnacentral:rRNA from 1 species